GAUGAACGCUGGCGGCGUGCCUAAUACAUGCAAGUCGAGCGAACAGAUAAGGAGCUUGCUCCUUUGACGUUAGCGGCGGACGGGUGAGUAACACGUGGGUAACCUACCUAUAAGACUGGGAUAACUUCGGGAAACCGGAGCUAAUACCGGAUAAUAUUUCGAACCGCAUGGUUCGAUAGUGAAAGAUGGUUUUGCUAUCACUUAUAGAUGGACCCGCGCCGUAUUAGCUAGUUGGUAAGGUAACGGCUUACCAAGGCGACGAUACGUAGCCGACCUGAGAGGGUGAUCGGCCACACUGGAACUGAGACACGGUCCAGACUCCUACGGGAGGCAGCAGUAGGGAAUCUUCCGCAAUGGGCGAAAGCCUGACGGAGCAACGCCGCGGGAGUGAUGAAGGUCUUCGGAUCGUAAAACUCUGUUAUUAGGGAAGAACAUACGUGUAAGUAACUGUGCACGUCUUGACGGUACCUAAGCAGAAAGCCACGGCUAACUACGU
rnacentral:rRNA from 1 species